rnacentral:lncRNA from 1 species
UUGGCCCUGGGGAGAAAACGGCCGGAGCUGCCGCGCAGCGCCUCCUGCGUCCAGCCUCAAACAGCACUUCCUCACUUACUCAGGUUAUAUAGCUUUUAGCACUCCUAUCAUUUACGCCUAAAGUCUUACCGUGACCUGCUGGGGGGAGAAGGUCCUUGUGUGCAAAUCUGAGUGCCAGCAGCUAGCAGUUUGUCUCAGCAAAAAGAGAUCCACUUGUGAACCACCAGAACGGACGAGCCAAAUGAAAGUACAUCUUGUGGAUGUGGAUAGCGUGACUCAAAGUUUCUCUGCCGCACUGCAAGGUGAGAGGACAUCAACUUGGAGGUGCAUCUCCUCAGGCUCUGGAAACACAUAUCUCCUGCUGCCGGAGCACUGCAUGUCCAUGUACAGCUUCUGGAGGACUCUGCUAAGCUUACUUUCAUGUUGGAGCUCUGUUUGACAAAGAGGAGAAAAAGUCCCUGAAGACUGCAAGCCCUGGUUGCUGCAGCAGCCUCUGCUUCCUUCAGAAGGCUGCCUCUGCCCUACCUGGGGAAGCGCUCCUGCUGUCUGAGGUGCCGGAUGCGGGUGGAGAUGGGGUAAGC